rnacentral:rRNA from 1 species
CCUACGGGGAGCAGCAGUAGGGAAUAUUGGGCAAUGGGCGAAAGCCUGACCCAGCAACGCCGCGUGAAGGAAGAAGGCUUUCGGGUUGUAAACUUCUUUUGACAGGGAAGAGCAGAAGACGGUACCUGUCGAAUAAGCCACGGCUAACUACGUGCCAGCAGCCGCGGUAAUACGUAGGUGGCAAGCGUUGUCCGGAUUUACUGGGGGUAAAGGGCGUGUAGCCGGGCUGAUAAGUCAGAUGUGAAAUCCGGGGGCUCAACCCCCGAACUGCAUUUGAAAUUGUUGGUCUUGAGUAUCGGAGAGGCAGGCGGAAUUCCUAGUGUAGCGGUGAAAUGCGUAGAUAUUAGGAGGAACACCAGUGGCGAAGGCGGCCUGCUGGACGACAACUGACGGUGAGGCGCGAAAGCGUGGGGAGCAAACAGGAUUAGAUACCCUGGUAGUC